rnacentral:tRNA from 1 species
GCGGGUGUGGCGGAAUUGGUAGACGCGCUAGACUUAGGAUCUAGUUCCCAACGGAGUGGGGGUUCAAGUCCCUUCACCCGCACCA